UGGGGGAUAUUGCACAAUGGGCGAAAGCCUGAUGCAGCGACGCCGCGUGGGGGAUGAAGGCUUUCGGGUUGUAAACCUCUUUCGCUAUCGAACAAGGCCCGCUUAGGGUGGGUUGAGGGUAGGUGGAGAAGAAGCGCCGGCUAACUACGUGCCAGCAGCCGCGGUAAUACGUAGGGCGCGAGCGUUGUCCGGAAUUAUUGGUCGUAAAGGGCUUGUAGGCGGCUCGUUGCGCCUGCUGUGAAAACGCGGGGCUUAACUUCGCGCGUGCAGUGGGUACGGGCAGGCUGGAGUGUGGUAGAAGUGACUGGAAUUCCAGGUGUAGCGGUGGAAUGCGCAGAUAUCUGGAGGAACACCGAUGGCGAAGACAGGUCACUGGGCGAUUACUGACGCUGAGGAGCGAAAGCAUGGGUAGCGAACAGG
rnacentral:rRNA from 1 species